rnacentral:lncRNA from 10 species
CAACAGACCAACCCCCACCCCCAAUACCUAUUUCUCCCUCCAGCCUUCACACUCUUGUAGUUUAAGAAUGAGAUAAUCUUGUAGCUGCUGGGAGUUUCCAUGAAGGGGGACUGGCCCAGGAAUGAGGUCAACCAGAGAAAAGUAGAGCCCUGAGAGAGGGACUAGGUCCUGAAGACUUCAUUUAAGACACAGGAUCCAGCCUUGCUUGAUGUCAUUACUCCUAGACUUUCACGUACAAGAGCCAAAAAAUUGUCUUUUCUUCCCCCUUAACCCAGGGCUCCUGCAACCAAAAGAACACUUGACUGUGGCAUCUUUCCAGCCUCCUGUUAGCAGCUAGGUAAGGUGCCCCCAUGGCAAGGAGCUGCGGGCAGCCUCAAGAAACUGGGUGGCCUCUUAGGACCUGAGGGCAGCCUCCAACAAGCAAGCAGCAAACCUCUGGGGCCUUCUGUUCUACAACUGCAAGGAAAUAAAUUCUGCCAACAGCCUGAAUGAGCACGGAAGUGAACUCUUUCUCAGUCGAGCCUCUGAAUGAGAACACAGUUCAACUCAUGCCUUGACUGCAGCUUGUGAGAGUCUGAGAAGAGGACCAGAUGGAGUCUCGCUCUGUCACCCAGGCUGGAGUGCAGUGGUGCAAUCUCGGCUCACUGCAAUCCCCGCCUCCCAGGUUCAAGCGAUUCUCCUGCCUCAGCCUCCCAAGUAGCUGGGAUUACAG